AUGUACCACGCGUAUUCUGCGGUUUAUCCGCGCAGUCUGCAUCCACCUGGUGAAUGCUCGCUACGUUUUGUUAGCC
rnacentral:sRNA from 1 species